UACGGAGGGGGCUAGCGUUGUUCGGAAUUACUGGGCGUAAAGCGCACGUAGGCGGCUUUGCAAGUCAGAGGUGAAAGCCCGGGGCUCAACCCCGGAAUUGCCUUUGAGACUGCAUCGCUAGAAUUGUGGAGAGGUAAGUGGAAUUCCUGGUGUAGCGGUGAAAUGCGUAGAUAUCAGGAGGAACACCGGUGGCGAAGGCGGGUCUCUGGGCCGAUACUGACGCUGAGGAGCGAAAGCGUGGGGAGCGAACAGG
rnacentral:rRNA from 1 species